CACGUAGGGCGCAAGCGUUGUCCGGAAUUAUUGGGCGUAAAGAGCUCGUAGGCGGACUGUUGCGUCUGCUGUGAAAAGCUGGGGCUUAACCCUGGCCUUGCAGUGGAUACGGGCAGACUAGAGGUAGGUAGGGGAGAAUGGAAUUCCCGGUGUAGCGGUGAAAUGCGCAGAUAUCGGGAGGAAUACCGGUGGCGAAAGCGGCGCACUGGACCACAACUGACGCUGAGGCGCGAAAGCUAGGGGAGCAAACAGGG
rnacentral:rRNA from 1 species